UACGUAGGCAGCGAGCGUUGUUCGGAAUUACUGGGCGUAAAGAGUGUGUAGGCGGUGCUCUAAGUUCGGUGUGAAAUCUCUCGGCUUAACUGGGAGGGUGCGCCGGAAACUGGAGAGCUCGAACGUGGGAGAGGAAAGCGGAAUUCCUGGUGUAGCGGUGAAAUGCGUAGAUAUCAGGAGGAACACCUGCGGUGUAGACGGCUUUCUGGACCAUUGUUGACGCUGAGACACGAAAGCGUGGGUAGCAAACAGG
rnacentral:rRNA from 1 species